rnacentral:miRNA from 1 species
CACCUUGAUUUUGGACUUCUAGCCUCCAGAACUGUGAGAGAGUAAGUCUCCACUGUUCUAAGCCACC